AACGAACGCUGGCGGCAUGCCUAACACAUGCAAGUCGAACGAGACCUUCGGGUCUAGUGGCGCACGGGUGCGUAACGCGUGGGAACCUUCCCUUAGGUUCGGAAUAACUCCCCGAAAGGGGUGCUAAUACCGGAUAAUGUCUUCGGACCAAAGAUUUAUCGCCUUUGGAUGGGCCCGCGUUGGAUUAGCUAGUUGGUAGGGUAAAAGCCUACCAAGGCUACGAUCCAUAGCUGGUCUGAGAGGAUGAUCAGCCACACUGGGACUGAGACACGGCCCAGGCUCCUACGGGAGGCAGCAGUGGGGAAUAUUGGACAAUGGGCGAAAGACUGAUCCAGCAAUGCCGCGUGAGUGAUGAAGGCCUUAGGGUUGUAAAGCUCUUUUAACCGGGAUGAUAAUGACAGUACCGGGAGAAUAAGCGCCGGCUAACUCCGUG
rnacentral:rRNA from 1 species